rnacentral:lncRNA from 1 species
AAAGGAAACAGACCGCAGAAGUACCAGUCCUUUACCAGAUCCAUCUCCAUGUACACAUGCACAGAAGCUUGGACUAAACUUCUCUGAAAUUCAUAGCACCUCAGCUCUUCCCACUUCCCUACCUAACGGUAUGUGAUCUUGUUUGGUGGUAACGAACAUGUAAGGAAACAUUUUAAAAUGUUAUGCUACAUUCCCCAGCUUUCAGAUGAACUGGGCUUGGUCUGAUAAGCCCAGAUCCCCUCUGCAGAACCUGAAGACAACAUUGUGUUGCAGGU